rnacentral:rRNA from 1 species
GAUGAACGCUAGCGGCAGGCCUAACACAUGCAAGUCGAGGGGCAGCACGUCUUCGGAUGGUGGCGACCGGCGCACGGGUGCGUAACGCGUAUGCAACCUACCUCUUACAGUGGGAUAGCCCAGAGAAAUUUGGAUUAAUACCGCAUAGUAUACAGAUUCAGCAUUGGGACUGUAUUAAACAUUUAUGGGUAAGAGAUGGGCAUGCGUUCUAUUAGUUAGUUGGAGUGGUAACGGCACCCCAAGACAGCGAUAGAUAGGGCCCGUCGAGAGGGGAGUCCCCCACCACUGGUACUGAGACACGGACCAGACUCCUACGGGAGGCAGCAGUGAGGAAUAUUGGACAAUGGGCGGAGAGCCUGAU